rnacentral:lncRNA from 1 species
CAGACACAGGCUGUGUCUGCGCGGAUGAAGAGAGGACCUUCCAGUGGAACGUGCGAGCCACCAGCCUGGGGAAGAUGAACAUCACUGUCACUGCUGAGGCCUUGAGCUCUGACGAGCUCUGCAGCACCCAGAUGCCCACGGUGUCAGCCCAGGAGCACGUGGACACUGAGACAAAACUCCUGAUGGUGCAGGCUCCACAAGUGAUGUGAAGGAAAAUUGCAGCUGCCUGGCUGUCCCUGUGCUCCUGACCCCACCAGACAGCCAUGGUCUAGAGGACUGGCAUCUCUCCCUGUUCCUAUCACUUCAUUCCCUUCACCUGACCCGGAAGGAACCUGCAGCAACACGGCUGAGACGAGGACUCCAAACCCCAUCCUGCUCUCCAGCAGCCCUGCCAGCCCAUGAGGAUCAAGGGCUGCCUGGGAGCAGCCACUUUUCUGCCCAAGCGGUCAUGAUUUCCCUUGAACCAAUGCCAGUGUGACCCCCCAGAGAGGGGACCAGGGCAGGUGAGCUGACCCCCAGCUGACAAAAAGCCUCUGGAGAUCAAUGUAAGCCUGAUGGCCGGGGAUGGAGACGAUGCUCAGAGCUGACCCAAGCACAGCCAGGCUGACCCCUGCUCUGCCAGCCUGAAAAAUAAAGAAAAAUGCAAGUGGAAUAAGGGAAGUGGAAACAAAAAAGUGUCCUUCUUGCAUGAAAGCUUCCUUUUUUCAGGCUCUUUCUCACCAUCCUUGACCAAGGCCAGCUCUCUGUCCCAAAAUAGACUUCAUGUUAGGGACUCAUUGUUCCUGUCCACCUUGAUGAUGUGUCAGAGGGGUUGUACUUUCACCUUGCUUUGCUGAAUAAAAAACUGAGA